rnacentral:rRNA from 1 species
GAUGAACGCUGGCGGCGUGCCUAACACAUGCAAGUCGAGCGAACGGACGCGACGCUUGCUUCUCUGUUGUUAGCGGCGGACGGGUUAGUAACACGUGGACAACCUCCUUAUAAGACUGGGAUAACUUCGGUAAACCGUAGCUAAUACCGGAUAAUAUUUUGAACCGCAUGGUUCAAAAGUGAAAGACGGUCUUGCUGUCACUUAUAGAUGGAUCCGCGCUGCAUUAUCUAGUUGGUAAGGUAACGGCUUACCAAGGCAACGAUGCAUAGCCGACCUGAGAGGGUGAUCGGCCACACUGGAACUGAGACACGGUCCAGACUCCUACGGGAGGCAGCAGUAGGGAAUCUUGCGCAAUGGGCGAAAGCCUGACGGAGCAACGCCGCGUGAGGGAUGAAGGUCUUCGGAUCGUAAAACUCUGUUAUUAGGGAAGAACAGAUGUGUAAGUAAAUGUGCACAUCAUGACGGUACCGUAUCAGAAAGCCACGGCUAACUACGUG